CGUUGAGCAAAGACGUUGACUUGAGUUUGGCAAAUUUUUACCAUGUUUUAUCCUCUUUGCAAGGUCAUAAAGAAGACCAACAAGAUGACUUCGAUUGAGCCAUAUAGGUGAAGAAGAUGGUCAAGGGUUUUGCCUUUCCAUGUUAUACUACUGAACAUGAUAUCUGGAUGAGGUUCGUUAGGUACUGCGGGGCCGACGCGCCUGAAAUUUCAAUCCAAGCCGAUCGCAGGGUUUAAAAGUUUAUAAUAGCUUCAAAGCAAACAGCACAGGAUAACAAGCUACACCGUACCUAGGAAACUUGGAUUAACUACCACACGUCAUUUUUGGUGCCACAUGUUUACCAUGGCAACAGUGACGUCAACCAUUGYGAUGCUUUUCCUUGUGAAUAMUUCAAAGUGGCKUCAUUGUUAAUCACAGCAAYCAUUAAGUUG